GCAUUUCUCCUCCGAUCCAAGAAGCCUGGACUGCAGUCACCAUCUCAACACACCAACCAAGAGAAAGGCGGAUGGCUCAAUUCAAUAUGGAAAAUUGCACAAUAAAAGUUCCAGGACAUGAAGGCUGCAUACUGUGAACGUCAACCUUCAGGGCACCGUCCUGCGCAGAAGACUUUCUACCCUAAGAGGGAUGGCUGACCGCAGACACUCACAACCAGCACAGACGCCUCCAACCUCAGACUAGGCCCUUCACAGUUGCUGCACUUACCCACCUUCCCAGAGUUUUUGUGUGGUAAUGACAACUGUAAAUAUAGUAUAAAGUAAUGUAUCUAGUGUCAUGUGUAAUACAUUGUUUAAAUUGUCCAUACAUUUCAAUGACAGUAAAUA